CUUGACAUCCAGCGAACUUGGCAGAGAUGCCUUGGUGCCUUCGGGAACGCUGAGACGGGUGCUGCAUGGCUGUCGUCAGCUCGUGUUGUGAAAUGUUGGGUUAAGUCCCGNAACGAGCGCAACCCUUUAUCCUUUGUUGCCAGCGAUUCGGUCGGGAACUCAAAGGAGACUGCCGGUGAUAAACCGGAGGAAGGUGGGGAUGACGUCAAGUCAUCAUGGCCCUUACGAGUAGGGCUACACACGUGCUACAAUGGCGCAUACAAAGAGAAGCGACCUCGCGAGAGCAAGCGGACCUCAUAAAGUGCGUCGUAGUCCGGAUCGGAGUCUGCAACUCGACUCCGUGAAGUCGGAAUCGCUAGUAAUCGUGGAUCAGAAUGCCACGGUGAAUACGUUCCCGGGCCUUGUACACACCGCCCGUCACACCAUGGGAGUGGGUUGCAAAAGAAGUAGGUAGCUUAACCUCCGGGAGGGCGCUUACCACUUUGUGAUUCAUGACUGGGGUGAAGUCGUAACAAGGUAGGCGUAGCGAG
rnacentral:rRNA from 1 species